GCAAAUUAUCUUGCUUCCCCUCCUCUUGUUGUCGCUUAUGCUCUCGCUGGAACGGUUAAUAUCGACUUUGAAACUGAACCCAUAGGGACAUCGAAAGAUGGGAAGAAGAUAUUCUUCAGGGACAUCUGGCCGACCACUGAAGAGAUUGCAGAUGUUGUGCAAUCAAGUGUCCUACCAGCCAUGUUCAAGAGUACAUACGAAGCUAUUACUGGAGGAAAUCCUAUGUGGAAUGAGCUGUCGG
rnacentral:misc_RNA from 1 species